UACGAAGGGGGCUAGCGUUGCUCGGAAUCACUGGGCGUAAAGGGUGCGUAGGCGGGUCUUUAAGUCAGGGGUGAAAUCCUGGAGCUCAACUCCAGAACUGCCUUUGAUACUGAGGAUCUUGAGUUCGGGAGAGGUGAGUGGAACUGCGAGUGUAGAGGUGAAAUUCGUAGAUAUUAGGAAGAACACCAGUGGCGAAGGCGGCCCACUGGUCCGGUACUGACGCUGAGGUGCGAAAGCGUGGGGAGCAAACAGG
rnacentral:rRNA from 1 species